UACGGGGGGAGCAAGCGUUGUUCGGAUUUACUGGGCGUAAAGGGCGCGUAGGCGGCCAGCACAAGUCAGUUGUGAAAUCUCCGAGCUUAACUCGGAAAGGUCAACUGAUACUGUGCGGCUAGAGUGCAGAAGGGGCAACUGGAAUUCUUGGUGUAGCGGUGAAAUGCGUAGAUAUCAAGAGGAACACCUGAGGCGAAGGCGGGUUGCUGGGCUGACACUGACGCUGAGGCGCGAAAGCUAGGGGAGCGAACGGG
rnacentral:rRNA from 1 species